UACGUAGGGUGCGAGCGUUGUCCGGAAUUAUUGGGCGUAAAGAGCUUGUAGGCGGUCUGUCGCGUCUGCUGUGAAAAUCCGGGGCUCAACCCCGGACUUGCAGUGGGUACGGGCAGACUAGAGUGUGGUAGGGGAGACUGGAAUUCCUGGUGUAGCGGUGAAAUGCGCAGAUAUCAGGAGGAACACCAAUGGCGAAGGCAGCUCGCUGGGACGGUACUGACGCUGAGGCGCGAAAGCGUGGGGAGCAAACAGG
rnacentral:rRNA from 1 species